UGGGGAAUAUUGCACAAUGGGCGCAAGCCUGAUGCAGCCAUGCCGCGUGUAUGAAGAAGGCCUUCGGGUUGUAAAGUACUUUCAGCGGGGAGGAAGGUGUUGAGGUUAAUAACCUCAGCAAUUGACGUUACCCGCAGAAGAAGCACCGGCUAACUCCGUGCCAGCAGCCGCGGUAAUACGGAGGGUGCAAGCGUUAAUCGGAAUUACUGGGCGUAAAGCGCACGCAGGCGGUCUGUCAAGUCGGAUGUGAAAUCCCCGGGCUCAACCUGGGAACUGCAAUCGAAACUGGCAGGCUAUAGUCUUGUAGAGGGGGGUAGAAUUCCAGGUGGAGCGGUGAAAUGCGUAGAGAUCAGGAGGAAUACCGGUGGCGAAGG
rnacentral:rRNA from 1 species